rnacentral:rRNA from 1 species
CAGUCGCCGCGGGAAUACGAAGGGGGCUAGCGUUGCUCGGAAUGACUGGGCGUAAAGGGCGCGUAGGCGGCGAUCAAAGUCAGGCGUGAAAUUCCUGGGCUCAACCUGGGGGCUGCGUUUGAUACUUGAUUGCUAGAGUGGGGAAGAGGGUCGUGGAAUUCCCAGUGUAGAGGUGAAAUGCGUAGAGAUGUGGAGGAACACCAGUGGCGAAGGCGACUCUCUGGUCUGUAACUGACGCUGAGGAGCGAAAGCGUGGGGAGCGAACAGGAUUAGAUACCCCGGUAGUCCCUGUCUCUUAUAU